rnacentral:lncRNA from 1 species
GUACUAGUGAAACUAACUCCACCCAUGAGAAGAGAUAUUGAGGUUUUCACCGAACGAGAGAAAAUAUUAUAUCUCGGGUUCUUAUGUGUUUAAUAAAAGGAUAAUUUAUUGCAAAAGGUGAUAUUAUAUAUCCUAGAAAUAGGAAGAACAUAAUAUAUGCCUUGAGCUCAUAGUGUAAUUAUAAGGAGAAUGAAAAUCAAUAUCAUAGGAGAUAUUACUUAUCCUAUAAAUAGGAAGAACAUAAUAUAUGCCUUGAGCUCAUAGUGUAAUUAUAAGAAGAAUGAAAUCAAUAUCAUAUUUAUUUUAAUUCAUG